AACGUAGGAGACAAACGUUAUCCGGAGUUACUGGGCGUAAAGGGCGUGUAGGUGGUUUUGUAAGUCUGGCGUGAAAUUUCUCGGCUUAACCGAGGCAGGUCGUCGGAUACUAUAAGACUAGAGGACGGUAGAGGCGUGUGGAAUUCCGGGUGUAGUGGUGAAAUGCGUAGAGAUCCGGAGGAACACCAGUGGCGAAGGCGACACGCUGGGCCGUACCUGACACUGAUGCGCGACAGCAUGGGGAGCAAACAGG
rnacentral:rRNA from 1 species